AAUGCUAUGAGCUCGUCUGUGGCCGCCCUUCCCCCACUUCAGCUGCGAGUCCGUGACAGAACCCCAGUCUCCGCUUGUCUUCACCGCCCCACACCGUGACCAGGCGUGGCACUGAACCACUAGUGGGAGCUGUACCCCUCCAGUUCUGCCUUCACAGUUCUCUGCCUUUGCCCCAAAACUGCAGAAAAUGAACCAAUCCCAGGAAUCAGUUUCAUUCAUGGAUGUGACCGUGGACUUUACCCAGGAAGAAUGGGAGCAACUGGACCCCUCUCAGAGGAUCCUAUACAUGGAUGUGAUGCUGGAGAAUUAUAGCAACUUACUUUCAGUGGAAGUGUGGAAGGCUGAUGACCAGAUGGAGCGGGACCAUGGAAACCCAGAGGAGCAAGCGAGGCAAUUUAUAAUCCUUAAGAACCAAACUCCAAUUGAGGAAAGAGAUAAUCUCUUUGGAAAAGCACUUAAUCUGAAUACAGACUUUGUUUCUUUAAGACAGACACCCUACAAAUACGGUUUAUAUGGAAAAACUUUGAAAUACAAUUCAGACUUACAUAAUAGCAAUAGAAACUAGGCAAGAAAGAAAGCUGAGGAGUAUAAUGGAUUUGGAAAAGCACUUCUUUAUCUUAAGCAAGAGAAAACCCAUCCUGACUUAGAAUACUCUGACUAUAAUAAAAGUGGAAAAGCCUUCAGCCAUAAAGAAGCCAUUUUUAAACAUCAGAAAAUUAAAAAUUUAGUUCAACCUUUUAUUUAUAAUUACUGUGACAAGACCUUCUCCUUUAAGUCACUCCUUAUUAGUCAUAAGAGAAUACAUACUGGAGAAAAACCAUAUGAAUGUAAUGUAUGUAAGAAAACCUUCUCCCAUAAGGCAAACCUCAUCAAACAUCAGACAAUUCACACUGGGGAGAAACCCUUUGAAUGUCCUAAAUGUGGAAAAGCUUUCACUCACCAGUCAAACCUCAUUGUACACCAGAGAACACAUAUGGAGAAGAAGCCCUAUGAGUGCAGCAAAUGUGGAAAGACAUUUGCCCAGAAGUUUGAAGUCACUACGCACCAGAGAAUUCAUUCAGGAGAAUGACCCUAUGAGUGUAAUAAAUGCGCAAAAACCUUCUUCAAAAAAUCAAACCUCAUUAUACAUCAGAAAAUUCACACAGGGGAGAAACACUAUGAGUGCAGUCAAUGUGGAAAAUCCUUCAUCCAGAAAAUAAAAACAAAGGUUGUUAUGGGGAUAAAAUGA